rnacentral:rRNA from 1 species
UACAGAGACUGCAAGCGUUAUUCGGAUUCACUGGGCGUAAAGGGUGCGCAGGCGGCCAAGUGUGUGCGGCGUGAAAGCCCGGGGCUUAACCCCGGAAUUGCACCUCAAACUACAUGGCUAGAGCAUUGGAGAGGGUAGCAGAAUUCAUGGUGUAGCGGUGAAAUGCGCAGAUAUCGGGAGGAACACCAAUGGCGAAGGCAGCUUGCUGGGACGGUACUGACGCUGAGGCGCGAAAGCGUGGGGAGCAAACAGG